rnacentral:rRNA from 1 species
AGCAAAUCUCAAGAAAAGCCAUCCCAGUUCGGAUUGUAGUCUGCAACUCGACUACAUGAAGCUGGAAUCGCUAGUAAUCGCGAUCAGAAUGCUGCGGUGAAUACGUUCCCGGGUCUUGUACACACCGCCCGUCACACCAUGGGAGUCGGAUAUGCCCGAAGUCAGUGACCCAACCGCAAGGAGGGAGCUGCCGAAGGUGGAGCCGAUGACUGGGGUGAAGUCGUAACAAGGUAGCCGUAUCGGAAGGUGCGGCUGGAUCACCUCCUUUAUG